rnacentral:rRNA from 1 species
AUUGAACGCUGGCGGCAGGCCUAACACAUGCAAGUCGAGCGGAGCGGCGGACGGGUGAGUAAUGCCUAGGAAUCUGCCUGGUAGUGGGGGAGAACGUCAGGAAACGGGAGCUAAUACUGCAUACUAUCAGAUGAGCCUAGGUCGGAUUAGCUAGUUGUUGGGGUAAAGGCCUACCAAGGCGACGAUCCCUAUCUGGUCUGAGAGGAUGAUCAGUCACACUGGAACUGAGACACGGUCCAGACUCCUACGGGAGGCAGCAGUGGGGAAUAUUGGACAAUGGGCGAAAGCCUGAUCCAGCCAUGCCGCGUGUGUGAAGAAGGUCUUCGGAUUGUAAAGCACUUUAAGUUGGGAGGCGUUACCAACAGAAUAAGCACCGGCUAACUCCGUGCCAGCAGCCGCGGUAAUUC